AGUGAUAAAUGCUGGAUCCUUAACCCACUGCACUGUCAGGAAACUCCUGGUCAAUUUUUUUGCUUAUUCUUCAACAUUGCAUCUUCAUUGUCCCUGGAUCAGGCCAUCCCCUCCUCCUUGGACCUGUCAAUUGAAAUCAAGAGUAAGGGAGAGCAGGGAACAGGUUGAGGUCUGUGAAGCAAAAUGAUAAAUUGGCACAGUCUGAAAGGUACACAUGGGUGAAAAAGCAUUGGUCGAUAGCUACACGGUAUAAAUGAGAGAUACAAAGAAAGGCCCAAAGUGAAGACCAUAUGCUACUUGGAACCUUGGACAUUUUUCAUGUGAGCAUGAAAU